AUUGAACGCUGGCGGAAUGCUUUACACAUGCAAGUCGAACGGCAGCACGGGAGCUUGCUCCUGGUGGCGAGUGGCGAACGGGUGAGUAAUGCGUCGGAACGUGCCGAGUAAUGGGGGAUAACGCAGCGAAAGUUGUGCUAAUACCGCAUACGCCCUGAGGGGGAAAGUGGGGGAUCGCAAGACCUCACGUUAUUCGAGCGGCCGACGUCUGAUUAGCUAGUUGGUGGGGUAAAGGCCUACCAAGGCGACGAUCAGUAGCGGGUCUGAGAGGAUGAUCCGCCACACUGGGACUGAGACACGGCCCAGACUCCUACGGGAGGCAGCAGUGGGGAAUUUUGGACAAUGGGGGCAACCCUGAUCCAGCCAUUCCGCGUGAGUGAAGAAGGCCUCGGUUGUAAGUACGU
rnacentral:rRNA from 1 species